UUCCUGAACAAGUCAAAGGCUUCCCAUCACUCCAGAGCCAAUGACUAAAAGAUAGAAAUGCACUUGGAAUCAGGAAAGAUUCAAUCUGCAUGGCUACCCAGCUAAAGAAGGAGUUAGAGAAAGAAAGUGACCUAGCCAUGAAAUCCCAAAGAUGGAGGGAGAGAAGAGCAGAUGAGUGCUUUUCCUAUCCAAUGAUGAAAUGGGAUGAAUUGAUAGUUACAGAUUCUCUCCUUUGUGAAGUAUGCAAAAUAUUUCCAUGAAAGUCAUGUUGUAAAAGAAAACAGCUCUCCCACCCUAAUAAAAAAACAAGACCUUCAAGAAAAAUAAAAUUGAGAGAGAGA